rnacentral:misc_RNA from 1 species
UGAUUAUAAAGGCAUGGGGCACAAUACAAAAAAGAGUACAUAAAACAAAUUGAGAGCAAGAAAGAAGGCUCACCCAAACAGACCCAUCUCUUAAAAAACUCUAAUUUGUAAUGGGUAAAACCACUUGGACCCAUGACCUGACAACCAAGAAGGGGCAACCAUGGAUAGCGCCGCUCAACAAUGUGCUGCUAAUCAAUUGAUAGAGACAUCAACCAGCACCAAGUUUGGCAAAGAAAAUAGAGGACCUCCAUCCUAUAUAUGCAAUGCAUGGCUUAGAUUUAGAUUGAAGAACAAAGAAAGCUUCAAUAAAACACUGACAUCUUCUGGAUCUACAUGGCUCCAAGCGAUUUCAACAAACCCCAAGCCAAGAGAAAGCAUAAUUUCUUAGAACAUCCCAAUAAUUGGCGAUUGAAGGAGGUAGCAAAGCUCUCGACCACUUACUCAUGCCUUAUGCGCUUCAUAGAACCCAACGAGAUACCAACCUUGACUCAAAACAUCCUCUCGCAAUCAAUUAUCAAGGACUCGCCUUGAUGUAUGAUUUGUCAUAACCAUAGAUAUAAAGUAACAACAAUAACCCUCAGCAAGAUCACCCAGCUUCUCGAAAACAAACCAAAAUCAAUAUUUACAUCCCAACACCAGAGGUGGAGAGGGAACCCAUUGCCAGGUCAGGUGAAAGAAGGCCCUCCCUUACUUGGAGGGCAGCGGAAGAUCGACGCUAUGGCAGAAGACUAGAAACGAGUCUUAGAGAAAAAAAAAUGAAGCAAAGAUAAAGAAAUAAUCAGAG